CACGCUGUAAACGAUGAGUGCUAGGUGUUGGGGGGGAACCCUCAGUGCCGCAGCUAACGCAAUAAGCACUCCACCUGGGGAGUACGGCCGCAAGGUUGAAACUCAAAGGAAUUGACGGGGGCCCGCACAAGCGGUGGAGCAUGUGGUUUAAUUCGACGCAACGCGAAGAACCUUACCAAGGCUUGACAUCCCGCUGACCGGUAUAGAGAUAUACCCUUUCUUCGGAACAGCGGAGACAGGUGG
rnacentral:rRNA from 1 species